AAAAUAUUAUAUAAUAAUAAUAAUAAUAAUAAUAAUAAUAAUAAUAAUAAUAAUAUGUUUUUUUUUUCAGCGCGUGUCCUUUAGCAUGAAGAUUCGAUUUGUGUUUUUAUUCGAACUCUUCUGAGCUCGUGAGUGGCAGCGGCAGCAGCAGCGGCAACUCUUCGACGGAAGGACCCUCUACAACUCCUAAACACCAGUUUUCUGUUUUAUAUUCACUGUUUUAAUAUCUGUUUUAUCUUUAAGUUUCUGUAUAAUUGUAUUAUAUUUACUGUUUUUCACGUUUUACUAAUUAAUUGUAUUUUAUUUUCAGGUGACUGUAGCCGCUGAGGGAGCUCACCCCCAUACCGGUCAGGUAUGGAUCCCUGGUGGAGGAGCAGACCUCUUCCAACGGUGGCACAAGGAGACUUUUCUUUCAGGACUCGUCCUGUGUCUCCGUGGGAGGGUGAAGAGCCAGCCGCCUGGGAGGAGCCCCCACCGUGUCAGCCCGGGUCCCUCGAGAUGCAGCGGAGGGCCCGCAUUAAGAUGUGGAUAGAAGGUCAGCCGGAGGGACUCCUGCCCACCUCCCACCCAGAGUCUUCAUUGCUUUCGACUACACCUGCAAGGUAUCACAGCCUUCUUACCUGCCCCUCUUACCACCCUGACACCUCCCAUUCCCUCUUUCUGAUUCUGAUUUACCACCCUGACACCUCCCAUUCCCUCUUUCU
rnacentral:lncRNA from 1 species